CAACUAAAACUCAAAGAGAUAACGUUAGCCACUUUUGCAUAUCUUUUUUUAUUAAAAAAAAAAUUAAUUAUUUUUCGCCACCAUCACCUGAACGCUCAGUCCUCUCUCUCCUUCAAAGCAAAUCGGUUCCCCAUCUCUCUCUUUUGUUACAGACCCUUUCCCCCUUUAUUCUAUCGUUUUCAGCCCCAACCAAUGCCACCUCCGCCGGUCCCACCCAAAUUUUAAUCAAUUAAACACAAAUUUUUUUAAUUUGUUUGUUGAAAUUUUCUGGCAGAUAUUGCUUCCUACAGUUGUGAUCGAUGUUGUUGUUAAUAGCAGUUAGGACGCAAGUCGAUUCACCCUGCACAGGCACAGUCGUAUAUCCGGGAGGGAAGGAAUGCUUGUGGAAGUGGGCAAAGGAAUUCCCACCCUAAUUUCCAACAAGUUUUAGAAUUAUUGUUGGCAAAGGGAGAGUAUUUGGCUUUUGCACCAGAUACAGAAGAGACGAAGACAAUGAUUAACUUAAUGUCAAUGAAAUUUCCCUUAUUGAAGAAGGAAAUGGGAGGACGGAUGUAAGCAAGGGUAAGCAGGAAAAUGAAAAGAAAACCAAGAACUAAAAAUGAAGGAGAAGACAAAAGUUAUUUCAACUUUGCUAUGUGGAGUAUAUGGAAGAGCAGAAAUUCAUGUCUUUAAUAGGAAAAAUCCAAAUCCAAAUCUGCCUAUGGAGAUCUACAACCAAACAUUAGAGUUUAUGUAUUGUGUGACUUCACCACGAAAUCCAGUCCGCAAAACUAGCAAAAGAAUCUGUUGGGAGAAACCUCCAUCAGGGUGGAAGAAGUUGAACACCGAUGGAUCGUCUAUAGGUUGUAUGGAGCAAAUUGGAUGUGGAGGUGUAAUUAGGGAUGAGCAUGGAAAUUGGGUUGUAGGAUUCCUAAGACACGCUGAGCAACUAACAACUUUACUGCUGAACUUUGGGAGCUUAGGGAUGGUCUUAUGUUGUGUUGUAACUUGAAUAUACCCUGCCUUAUUUGUCUUAACAAUUUUUCCAACACCAUAGUCUUGUUCAACCAAAUGACUACAACAGAUAGAUUCCUACAUUCUACAUUUUAACAAAUUUACGUCAAUGACAUGUUUAUCUUAUUAUUUCAA